UAUUCUGGUGGCCUAGUGGUGAGAGUGCCCACCUCAGAUGAGGGAGGUCUUGGGUUUGAUCCCCAGUCGAGUCA